UAUGGGAUAUGGGGACAUCUAUGGGGUUAUGGGGACAUCUAUGGGAUAUGGGGACAUCUAUGGGAUAUGGGGACAUCAAUGCCCCCCCAUCUCACCGUUCCCGCCGCCCCCCCCCGCGGUGCCGCCGCUCCCGCAGCUCCGCCUCCAUCGCUUCCAGCUCCCCGCGCAGCCGCCGCAGCCGCGCCGCGUUGCGUUCGGCCGCCGCCGCCAGGCGCUGCCCCACAGGCGGCCCCAUAGGAGACCCCAUAGGAGACCCCAUAGGAGACCCCACAGGCGGCCCCACAGGCGGCCCCAUAGGCUGCGCCACCUGGGGACGUGUGGGUCCGUAUGGGGUCAUGGGGAUGGAUGGGGAUAUGGGGGGAUAUAUGGGAUGGAUGGGGUCAGUGGGGGCGUAUGGGGUAUAUGGGAUAUAUGGGAAAUAUGGGGUCAUAUGGGGAUAUAUGGGAUAUAUGGGGUAUAUGGGGUCAUAUGGGGAAAUAUGGGGAUAUAUGGGAUAUAUGGGGUCAUAUGGGGUCAUAUGGGGAUAUAUGAGGUCAUAUGGGGUCAUAUGGGGAUAUAUGAGAUAUAUGGGAUGUAUGGGGUCAUAUGGGGAUAUAUGGGAUAUAUGGGAUGGAUGGGGUCAGUUGGGGACAUAUGGGGAUAUAUGGGAUAUAUGGGGUCAUAUGGGGAUAUAUGGGAUAUAUGGGAUGGAUGGGGUCAGUGGGGGCGUAUGGGGAGAUAUGGGAAUAUAUGGGAUAUAUGGGGUCAUAUGGGGGAUAUAUGGGGACACAUGGGGAUAUAGGGGGAUAUAUGGGAUGUAUGGGGAUAUAUGGGGUCAUAUGGGGGAUAUAUGGGAAUACAUGGGACAUAUGGGGAUAUAUGGGAUAUACGAGGAUAUAUGGGGUCAUAUGGGGACACAUGGGGACACAUGGGAUAUAUGGAGUCAUAUGGGGACAUAUGGGGUCAUAUGGGGAUAUAUGGGAUAUAUGGGGUCAUAUGGGGUCAUAUGGGGAUAUAUAGGAUAUAUGGGGGCAUACGGGGAUAUAUGAGGUCAUAUGGGGAUACAUGGGGAUAUAUGGGAUAUAUGGGGAUAUAUGGGGUCACAUGGGGACAUAUGGGGAUAUAGGGGGAUAUAUGGGAUGUAUGGGGUCAGUGGGAUGUAUGGGGUCAGUGGAAUAUAUGGGGUCAAUGGGGACAUAUGGGGUUAUAUGAGGUCAUAUGACCCCAUACAUCCCCAUACAUCCCCAUAUAUCGCACUGACCCCAUAUGUGGGGCACGUGGGGAUAUAUGGGGUCAUAUGGGGAUAUAUGGGGACACAUGGGGGUAUAUAGGAUAUAUGGGGUUAUAUGGGGUCAUAUGGGGUCACACGGGGAUAUAUGGGGACACAUGGGGGUAUAUGGGAUAUAUGGGGUCAUAUGGGGGUAUAUGGGAUAUAUGGGGUUAUAUGGGGUCAUAUGGGGAUAUAUGGGGUCAUAUGGGGAUAUAUGGGGUCAAUGGGGAUAUAUGGGGUCAUAUGGGGAUAUAUGGGGUCAAUGGGACAUACGGGGACAUGGGGAUAUAUGGGAUUAUAUGGGGUCAUGUGGGGAUAUAUGACAUAUAUGGGAUAUAUGGGGUCAUAUGGGGAUAUAGGGGAAUAUAUGGGAUAUAUGGGGACACAUGGGGUCAUAUGGGGAUAUAUGGGGGCAUAUGGGGGCACAUGAGGAUAUAUGGGGUCAUGUGGAGAUAUAUGGGGACAAGUGGGGACAUAUGGGGUCAUAUGGGAAUAUAUGGGGACAUAUGGGGACAAAUAGGGACAAAUGGGGACACAUGGGGAUAUAUGAGGCUAUAUGGGGACGUACGGGGACAUAUGGGAUAUAUGGGGACAUAUGGGGGCAUAUGGGGACAAAUGGGGACACACAGGGACAUAUGGGGUCAUGGAGACAUAUGGGGAUAUAUGGGGUCAUGGGGACACAUGGGGAUGUAUGGGGACAAAAGGGGACAUAUGGGGAUAUAGGGGAAUACAGGGGGGUAUAUGGGGACGUGUGGGGACAUGUGGGGACAAAUGGGGGC
rnacentral:lncRNA from 1 species